rnacentral:rRNA from 1 species
UACAGAGGGGGCAAGCGUUGUUCGGAAUUACUGGGCGUAAAGGGCGCGUAGGCGGCCUUCUAAGUCGAACGUGAAAUCCCCGGGCUCAACCCGGGAACUGCGUCCGAUACUGGAAGGCUUGAAUCCGGGAGAGGGAUGCGGAAUUCCAGGUGUAGCGGUGAAAUGCGUAGAUAUCUGGAGGAACACCGGUGGCGAAGGCGGCAUCCUGGACCGGCAUUGACGCUGAGGCGCGAAAGCCAGGGGAGCAAGCAGGG